CAAGUGGAGACACGGAAAAAGUUACUUUCGUACAACAAAGUGGUUGGAUAGGGACAUCGUGAAGAAAGAUGAAAUGAAUGUUUUCUAAAUCCGGUGGACCAAGAAGAACACGUUUUUUUGUUGUUAAUAAUAAUUGAACCCCAUUGUUGUUAUCUUCUCAACAUUUUUCUCUGUUUUCCCAAUUCUCUUCUGAGAGUUUCUUACCGGUAAAGAUGGCUACUUUGACUGUGCCCCCAGUUCCCCCUUCUCCUAGAGAUGAUGCACUGCAACUUUACCGUGCUUUUAAGGGAUUGGGUUGUGAUACCAGUGCUGUCAUCAAUCUUCUUGCUCAUCGUGAUGCUACGCAACGUGCCUACAUCCAACAAGAGUACAAAACAAUGUAUUCUGAGGAACUUUCCAAACGUUUAGCUUCAGAGCUUAGUGGAAAGUUAGAGAGUGCAGUUCUUCUGUGGUUGAAAGACCCUGCAGGACGUGAUGCAUCAAUCAUUAGGAAGUCUCUGGUAGAGGUGCGAAGCCUUGAAGGUGCUACUGAAGUUAUAUGUUCACGGACUCCAUCUCAGCUGCAGUAUUUAAAACAGGUCUACCAUUCAUUGUUUGGUGUUUAUCUUGAACAUGAUAUUCAAGCAAACACCAGCCCCGGGAGUGAUCAUCAAAAGCUGUUGCUUGCAUAUAUAAGCACACCUCGUCCUGAAGGUCCUGAAGUUAACAGAGAAAUUGCUCAGAAGGAUGCAAAGGUUCUUUACAAAGCAGGGGAGAAGAAACUGGGAACUGAUGAAAAGACCUUUAUCCACAUAUUCAGUGAACGGAGUGCUGCACAUUUGGCUGCUGUCAGUGCUUAUUACCAUGACAUGUAUGGUCACUCUCUGAAGAAGGCAAUAAAGAAUGAAACAUCUGGGCUGUUUGAACUUGCACUUUUGACAAUUGUCCAAUGUGCCAUUCAUCCAGGAAAGUACUUUGCUAAGGUUUUGCAUAAGGCAAUGAAAGGUUUAGGGACUGAUGAUUCCACACUGAUAAGAGUGAUUGUGACAAGGACAGAGGUUGACAUGCAGUAUAUCAAAGCUGAAUAUUCAAAGAAACACAGGAAGACUCUGAAUGAUGCAGUUCACUCAGAAACAUCUGGUCACUACAGGGCUUUUCUUCUCUCACUUUUAGGCCCUAAUAUCUAGCCAACAACAUGUUCAAUGAUGUUUCAUGUGCAGUAAACUCAUUCUCUGAUGGUUUAAGAUUGGUUUGUGAUCCAUGUAAUGUAACCGAUCUCUGCUUGUAAAAUAAGGUUGUUCUUGUUGUUGUUGUUGUACACUUGUACUAGUGCUUUGAGAGUAUUAGUUUCAACCUAAUGCAUUGAUGAAGAACUGUUGUGUAUUAAAUAUGCAUAACUAUAUGUUUUUUCCUGUUUUAA